rnacentral:tRNA from 1 species
ACUUAUAUAAUAUAAAAAUUAUACUUGAUUUCCAAUCAAAAUAUCUAAUACUAAUUAGUAUAAGUA